UCCUUACUCUUCUUCUCCAUCGGCCAUUCCCCUUUUCCCCCAAAAUCCCAAUUCCAAAAGAAAGGAACCCUACUCUUCUCUCUUCCGCUUUCGACCUGGUCGGAUGUCACCAGAGCACGCCGCCGCUCACAGGCGUCGCCCCUCGCUCCCCAGUUUACGCCAAGAUCCCCCUCUUCCCUUUCACGUUUCGCUGAGUCCCUUACGACGACGUCGGCGUUAGGAUGCGAAGCCACCGCCGCCGCCAGCCGUCAAGGACGAGCAGCCAUCUUGCUGCUGCCGUUGUCGACUCCUCGGCGGGUCUGCAGAGUUGUCGCCUUGUCUUCGGCGUCUCGAAGAACAGGGCCACCUCCUGCGGUGUUGCUCAGCCCGAACUCUCUUCGCCGACACGCUCGCAACUGUCUAGCGGCUUUCGGGAUUCAGCCGACACUUGCUCUCGUCCGGCAGCCUCGACUAAUAAGCUAAGUUUUCCUUCUAGUUCAUAGCUUAUUUCGUGGAUUUCUAAAUGACAGUGGCUACGCGACAGUUGGGAGUGAUGAUGCGUAGUGUUUAAAUGGUGUUUACUGCACUUAAAUGUGGGAGCUCGAGUUACUAAUCUGGGCAGCCCUUCAGGCUACGACAUACUUGAUUGAGCAUUUUUGUUGUUGGAUGCUUAUCCUAUGUUAUUCCUGAACUAGAUGGCAGGGGUGUGUUAAAUCAUGCUGUCCUAAAAGGUCAUUCUAGCAUGCUUCGAUUUUCUAUAUGAUGAUAUGGAAAUCAAAACGAGUUGGGACUGAGUGAGGUUACCUUCUCCUCACAAUGCUAUGCCUUCCCCUUCUGCUAGCUUUGAUCUCCCCCACUCCUCCCCUUGUUGCUCAGUUUAGUGAGUAUUUUGUUAUGGGAAUGAAGGGUAGAACCGAGGGGAGUUGGCUUAUUUAUGCCCAGCUUGUAACUGAAAGCUGCACAAAGGCUGUUCUUUUGCAGCUCUGCAGAGCUUACCCUGUUCUCUUGGCCUCUUUUGUAACUGAUUCUGUUGUGUCAUGGCAGUGGUUGUUCCCUCUGCAACUCGCAGGGAUGUACUCGUGCAUUUAUUGGCAUUGUAGCCUCUUAUGUUAUCAAUUUGCAGGGUGUUUUGGCUCUUGUUUGUGACUGCCUACUCACUGAACUUUGUGUAACCUUUUCGCAGGUACUAGCUGGGGUACAAGUGGUUAGGAUUGGAGUGAAAGUGCUGUGAUUCUCUGUGCUUUGCUGCACUUGGCAGCCUGCGGUCUUACCCUUUUUAGCAAGUUGUUGGUCUCCAAACCUUAAAGAAAAAGGCUGGCUACACAGGGCUCGUUUCCAAUGCCCCAGCCCAUCGGCCUCUCCGAUUCUGGGUCGAGACGGCUCGCGCUGAAGGCCGAUGAAGUUCACUAGGGACUCUUGAUUGUUGUAGCUCGAUAUGAACUCCUUUUGUCUGCCUUAACAACCAUGUAGUAUCUAGAGUUGUUGGUGUGUAGUUCGUUUUUCCUUUAAUUUCAUCGUUAAAGAUUGUAGUUCUAGUUUGAGAUUCUGUAAUUUGUAAUUUGUACCCUUUCUCAAGAAAUAACAAUACUCUUUUCAUUCGAUAAAAAAAAAGUUCUAGCGUUUUAUUUCAUAA